rnacentral:lncRNA from 1 species
GUAUAGAUUUUGCUGCAAUUUAUUUUAUUUUUUUGGUUUAGUUUUUGUGAUUAUUUUGGUAGAUCUAUUAAUAUCUACACAAAGUAUUGCUUAAAACAAAAGUUCUUUAUUUUUUCUUUGAUUAUUUUUUCGAUUACUUGAGUUUAUUCCUUUAAUUUGAUAGAUCUAUUUUUUUAAAACAAAGUUCUUUAAUUUUUCGUUGUUAUGUUUCAUUUUCUGGUUUAGUUGUUGUGAUUAUUUUGGUAGAUCUAUAAAUAUCUACACAAAGUAUUACUUAAAACAAAAGUUCUUCAUGUUUUCUUUGAUUAUUUUUUUGUUUAUAUGUUCUAUAUUUAUAUUUUUAAGAUAUCACUUCGUAUAGAUUUACAUAAAGAUGUAGAUUUAUGAAUAUUUACAUCAAGAUGUAGAUUUAUGAAUAUCUAUAUGUGAAGUGAUGCUUUUCUUUAUUUUUAGUUACAUAAAUAUGAAUAUCUACAUGAGAAGUGGUUGUUUUCUUAAUUUUUUUUCGCAUUACAUAUAUUUUUAUAAACACAGUUUUAUAUUUUUUCGUUGAUUUUUUUUAAUUAUUUUUUUAAGCAUCACUUCAUAGAUCUAUCAACCCUUGAAUGACGUCGCACUUCUCUCUCUCAAACCCUAACCCUAGUUCUGCGUUUUGAUCUUCUCGCUGCCGCCGUCCAUGACUUCCGGCUGUACGAUUCCAUCGAC